rnacentral:rRNA from 1 species
UACAGAGGUCUCAAGCGUUGUUCGGAUUCAUUGGGCGUAAAGGGUGCGUAGGCGGCGCGGUAAGUCGGGUGUGAAAUCUCGGAGCUUAACUCCGAAACUGCAUUCGAUACUGCCGUGCUUGAGGACUGGAGAGGAGACUGGAAUUUACGGUGUAGCGGUGAAAUGCGUAGAUAUCGUAAGGAAGACCAGUGGCGAAGGCGGGGUCUCUGGACAGUUCCUGACGCUGAGGCACGAGGCCAGGGGAGCAAACGAG